GAUCGAGGGCAACCUACUCUAC
rnacentral:siRNA from 1 species